AGAAUCAACGCUGGCGGCGUGCCUAACACAUGCAAGUCGCACGAGAAAGGGGAGCAAUCCCUGAGUAAAGUGGCGCACGGGUGAGUAACACGUGAAUGAUCUACCUCCGAGUGGGGAAUAACCAAAAGAAAUUUUGGCUAAUACCGCAUAACACUUACGAGUCAAAGCAGCAAUGCGCUUGGAGAGGAGUUCGCGGCAGAUUAGCUAGUUGGCGGGGUAAUGGCCCACCAAGGCGAUGAUCUGUAUCCGGCCUGAGAGAGCGCACGGACACACUGGAACUGAAACACGGUCCAGACUCCUACGGGAGGCAGCAGUGGGGAAUUUUGCGCAAUGGGGGAAACCCUGACGCAGCAACGCCGCGUGGAGGAUGAAGCCCCUUGGGGUGUAAACUCCUUUCGAUCGGGAAGAUAAGUGACGGUACCGAUAUAAGAAGCCCGGCUACUUCGCGCCAGCAGCCGC
rnacentral:rRNA from 1 species